GGGACACGUGGUAUCCUGUCUGAAUAUGGGGGGACCAUCCUCCAAGGCUAAAUACUCCUGACUGACCGAUAGUGAACCAGUACCGUGAGGGAAAGGCGAAAAGAACCCCGGCGAGGGGAGUGAAAAAGAACCUGAAACCGUGUACGUACAAGCAGUGGGAGCCUCUUUUAUGGGGUGACUGCGUACCUUUUGUAUAAUGGGUCAGCGACUUAUAUUCUGUAGCAAGGUUAACCGAAUAGGGGAGCCGAAGGGAAACCGAGUCUUAACUGGGCGUUAAGUUGCAGGGUAUAGACCCGAAACCCGGUGAUCUAGCCAUGGGCAGGUUGAAGGUUGGGUAACACUAACUGGAGGACCGAACCGACUAAUGUUGAAAAAUUAGCGGAUGACUUGUGGCUGGGGGUGAAAGGCCAAUCAAACCGGGAGAUAGCUGGUUCUCCCCGAAAGCUAUUUAGGUAGCGCCUCGUGAAUUCAUCUCCGGGGGUAGAGCACUGUUUCGGCAAGGGGGUCAUCCCGACUUACCAACCCGAUGCAAACUGCGAAUACCGGAGAAUGUUAUCACGGGAGACACACGGCGGGUGCUAACGUCCGUCGUGAAGAGGGAAACAACCCAGACCGCCAGCUAAGGUCCCAAAGUCAUGGUUAAGUGGGAAACGAUGUGGGAAGGCCCAGACAGCCAGGAUGUUGGCUUAGAAGCAGCCAUCAUUUAAAGAAAGCGUAAUAGCUCACUGGUCGAGUCGGCCUGCGCGGAAGAUGUAACGGGGCUAAACCAUGCACCGAAGCUGCGGCAGCGACACUAUGUGUUGUUGGGUAGGGGAGCGUUCUGUAAGCCUGUGAAGGUGUACUGUGAGGUAUGCUGGAGGUAUCAGAAGUGCGAAUGCUGACAUAAGUAACGAUAAAGCGGGUGAAAAGCCCGCUCGCCGGAAGACCAAGGGUUCCUGUCCAACGUUAAUCGGGGCAGGGUGAGUCGACCCCUAAGGCGAGGCCGAAAGGCGUAGUCGAUGGGAAACAGGUUAAUAUUCCUGUACUUGGUGUUACUGCGAAGGGGGGACGGAGAAGGCUAUGUUGGCCGGGCGACGGUUGUCCCGGUUUAAGCGUGUAGGCUGGUUUUCCAGGCAAAUCCGGAAAAUCAAGGCUGAGGCGUGAUGACGAGGCACUACGGUGCUGAAGCAACAAAUGCCCUGCUUCCAGGAAAAGCCUCUAAGCAUCAGGUAACAUCAAAUCGUACCCCAAACCGACACAGGUGGUCAGGUAGAGAAUACCAAGGCGCUUGAGAGAACUCGGGUGAAGGAACUAGGCAAAAUGGUGCCGUAACUUCGGGAGAAGG
rnacentral:rRNA from 1 species